CCUACAUGGUACAUCCUACUAUUGUCUCUUUUUCAUGUGAUGAGACUGAGGAACCCACCCAUGGUAACACUAAGGCAGUAAAUGGUGGAGCUGCAUCCAAAGCAGCCCGAUGGGGGCAAAAGGGCUUAAGGGAGUCUUUUUAUCUUUUAAUAAUUUAGACUGGCUACAUCAGAAGGAAGGAAGGAAGGAAGGAAGGAAGGAAGGAAGGAAGGAAGGAAGGAAGGAAGGAAGGAAGGAAGGGAGGAUGCGAGGGAAGGAAGUAAUCAGUCUAGAAAUAGCCACCUCAAGAUAGCUGAUUGUCACCAAAACCUUCCUCAAAGUUGUUGCUGGUCCCACAUCAGACAUCAGGGACCGCUGUGUAAAGUGAUCCUUCUGUUAUACCACGUGGAUUUUUUUUUUUUUUUACUUUAAGUUCUGGGAUACAUGUGCAGAACCUGAGGUUUGUUACAUAAGUAUACAUGUGCCAUGCUGGUUUGCUGCACCUAUCAACCUGUCACCUAGGUUUGAAGCCCCACAUGCAUUAGGUAUUUGUCCUAAUGCCCUCCCUCCCCUUGUCCCCCACCCCCUGACAGGCCCUGGUGUGUGAUGGUCCCCUCCCUGUGUCCAUGUAUUCUCAUUGUUCAACUCCCACUUAUGAGUGAGAACAUGUGGUAUUUGGUUUUCUGUUCCUGUGUUAGUUUGCUGAGAAGGAUGGCUUCCAGCUUCAUCCAUGUCCCUGAAAAAGACAUGAUCUCAUUCUUUUUUAUGGCUGCAUUAUACUGCGUGAAAUGUUAAACUGCAGGUUAAAUUGAAACUAAAGACUAAGGUCUUUAUUUCAAACAUGGGAGAGCACCCCACCCUCCCUGCUAAAGGCACUAGUAGGCAAAUUCACAGACACUGAAAGACAGUUCCACAGCAUACAAUUCAUAGCCUUGCCUCCAGCCUGGCCAGACCUGAACGCCCCAUUUCGAGGUGGAGAGGUGGUAAGACUAAAGCUUAGAACAACAGUCAGGCACACCAAAUAGGCCCUGGGUCACUAGAGAGAACACUACUGUAAAUAUUUAUUCAAGUUAACAGAGCUGAACAGCUGUGCUCGUACCACACAGCAAAGCUGCAGUGACUCUCCCAGACACGAGAGGGUGCUGUGCCCACAGCCUGUGCUGUGCCUGUAGCAGAACACGCUUGAUGGAGAAGUUCAAAUAAAUUCCUCUCCCUGCACACCAACUUUCUUUUUCCAUUCUUUUUCUGGCUGAUUCUAAUUACCCUUGCAACUCAGGCUUGUCUCCUGCCUCCUGUCUCUGUAGGAGACAUGCUACCUGAGCACAAAACCAUUUUAACAUCAGCCUGUAGGUUUGUAAAUAUUGCCCUAAGCACACUGUGGAGACUACAAUGUUUUAGAAAGUUAUUACAGCAUGGUUGCUCAAAACCUUGCUUUUCAUGUUUCCUUGCCAUGAUGUUGGCCACAAUCCUCUGUUUGCUUAAUCUUUUUCUGUCUCAGAUACUCUUCCAUUUAUCCUAUUUCUCAUCUACCAAAGUUUCUUAGUUUCUCUGAGAUCCUGAACUUUCACUUUUAUCUCCACAGCUCUUUUUUUUCUCAUUCCCAAAGGUUUUGUCAUCUCAAUCAUAUUAAAGGUUUCCUAAACGAAUUUCUUUCAUUUAUUUAUUUUUUGUAACUCAUCAGCAGUCCCUGAUGUCAGAUGUCACUGCACUCAGGCUACAGUGCAGUGGCACGAUCUCGGCUCACUGCAGCCUCAACCUCCUGAACUCAAGUGAUCCUCCCAUCCUCCCACCUCAGCCUCCCAAGUAGCUGGGAUUACAGGUGCAUGCCACGCUGCGUGGCUAAUUUUUUUUUAUUUUUGGUAGAGACGGAGUUUCACCAUGUUGGCCAGGCUGAUCUCGAACUCCUGGCCUCAAUUGAUCUGCCUGCCUCUGCCUCCCAAAGUGCUGGGAUUACAGGCGUGAGCCACUGUGCCUGGCCGAAUUUCUUAUCUUUUAAUGAGUGACUACAAGAGGACUAAAAGGAAUUGAGUAAUUCUUCUUUACCAUAGUUGUGUGAGUUUUCCAGAAUAUUUCACUUCAAGUCAGAAAUACAUAUCUUAAUCACAUAUAUACUCCUCUCUUUGUGUCCGGAAUUGGUGGGUUCUUGGUCUCACUGACUUCAACAAUGAAGCUGCGGACCCUCGCAUUGAGUGUUACAGUUCCUAAAGGGGGCGUGUCCGGAGUUUGUUCAUUCUGAUGUUCGGAUGUGUUCGGAGUUUCUUCCUUCUGGUGGGUUCGUGGUCUCGCUGGCUCAGCAGUGAAGCUGCGGACCUUCGCGGUGAGUGUUACAGCUCUUAAGCCAGCGUUUCUGCAGUUGUUUGUUCCUCCCGGUGGGUUCGUGGUCUCCCUGGCUUCAGGAGUGAAGCUGUAGACCUUCGCCGUGAGUGUUACAGUUCUUAAAGGCGACGUGUCCGGAGUUUGUUCCUUCUGAUGUUCAGAUGUGUUCGGAGUUUCUUCCUUCUGGUGGGUUCGUGGUCUCGCUGGCUCAGGAGUGAAGCUGCAGACCUUCGCGGUGAGUGUUACAGCUCUUAAGGCGGCGCGUCUGGAGUUGUUCGUUCCUCCCGGUGGGCUCGUGGUCUCGCUGGCUUCAGCAGUGAAGCUGCAGACCUUCACGGUGAGUGUUACAGCUCAUAAAGGCAGUGUGUACCCAAAGAGUGAGCAGUAGCAAAAUGUAUUGCAAAGAGCGAAAGAACAAAGCUUCCACAGUGUGGAAGGGGACCCCAGCGAGUUGCCACUGCUGGCUCAGGCAGCCAGCUUUUAUUCUCUUAUCUGGCCCCACUCACAUCCUGCUGAUUGCUAGAGCCCAGUGGUCUGUUUUGACAGGGUGCUGAUUGGUGCAUUUACAAUCCCUGAGCUAGACACAAAGGUUUUCCACCUCCCCCCCAGAUUAGCUAGAUACAGAGUGUGGAUUGGUGCAUUCAUAAACCCUGAGCUCGACACAGGGUGCUGAUUGGUGUGUUUACAAACCUUGAGCUAAAUACCGAGUGCCGAUUGGUAUAUUUACAAGCUCUGAGCUAGACAUAAAGGUCCUCCAAGUUCCCACUAGACUCAGGAGCCCAGCUGGCUUCACCCAGUGGAUCUCGCACUGGGGCUGCAGGUGGAGCUGCUUGCCAGUCCCGCACCGUGCGCCCACACUCCUCAGCCCUUGGGUGGUCGAUGGGAUUGGGCGCCGUGCAGCAGGGGGCGGCACUCGUCGGGGAGGCUCAGGCUGCACAGGAGCCCACGGAGUCGGGGGAAGGGUCAGGCAUGGCGGGCUGCAGGUCCCGAGCCCUGCCCCGCGGGAAGGCAGCUAAGGCCCGGCGAGAAAUCGAGCGCAGCGCCGGCGGGCCGGCACUGCUGGGGGACCCAGCACACCCUCCGCAGCCGCUGGCCCGGGUGCUAAGCCCCUCAUUGCCCGGGAACCGCAGGGCCGGCCGGCUGCUCUGAGUGCGGGGCCCGCCAAGCCCACGCCUACCCGGAACUCCAGCUGGCCCGCAAGCGCGGCGCGAAGCCCCGGUUUCCGCUCGCGCCUCUCUCUCCACACCUCCCUGCAAGCUGAGGGAGCCGGCUCCGGCCUUGGCCAACCCAGAAAGGGGCUCCCACGGUGCAGUGGUGGGCUGAAGGGCUUCUCAAGUGCCGCCAAAGCGGGAGCCCAGGCAGAGGAGGCGCGGAGAGCGAAGAGGGCUGUGAGGACUGCCAGCACGCUGUCACCUCUCACCUUCUAUCCCCUUCAGCUGCUCCCGCUGCCCUACCAGCCCACUCCUGAAGUAACUCAUGGAAAUACUUCAGGAAGUACUCUCUGCGGGGACAUGGAAUCAUCUCAGAUCCCGCAGGAGGUGGGAAUUGAGGCAUCUGGGAUGACUUCUGAAUUCCUACAAGAAUUACGAGACACUUAGGUUUGGACAUGCUGGGACUGAGGUGUCUUGGGACAUCCAGCAAACUACCUACCAUGCUGUGGAUGGUCCUUAUGGAGAGGCCCAUUUGGUGAAGAGUUGAAGCCUUUGGCCAAAAUCCAGCAAGGACCCAACACCUGCCAAUAACCACUUGAAUGAGGUUUGAAGUGGAUUUUCCAGUCCCAGUUGUGCCUUGGAAUGACUGCACUCCAGCUGACAACUUGACUGCAACCUUACAAAAAGCUGUGAGACAGAAGCAUCCAGCUAGGAUACUCCUGGAUUUCUGACCUUAGAAACUGAAAUAAUAAAUGUUCACUGGGUCAGGUGCGGUGGCUCGUACCUGGAAUCCCAGCACUUUGGGAGGCCAAGGCAGGAGGAUUGCUUGAGCCCAGGAGUUCGAGACCAGCCUGGGCAACACAGUGAGACCUCAUCUCUAUAAUAAAUAAAUAAAUAAAUGUUCAUUGUUUUAAGCUGCUAA
rnacentral:lncRNA from 1 species